AAUAUAUGAAUAUUGAAAUCCAAGGUAACAUGUUCGUUACUUACACAUGCAACAAAAGUGAAAGUUAGACCAUCUCCAAUGUAAGACCAUCUCAAAUGCAUAUUUCUAUUUUUUUCUUCUAUUUUAGAGAAAAUAGAGUUGAUUUUACUCUAUUGUAUUCCUCUAAAAUAGAGUUUUCUCUAAAAUUGAGGAAAAAAAUAGAGAUUACUUUAUAUAUAGAGAUUAUUCUAUAUAUAGAGUAAAAAGUGAGAUUCCUCUAUUUGUUUCCGAUAUUUUAGAGUAAACUCUAUUUAAGAGGCAUACAUUGGAGCAAAAUAUUUCUAAAAUAGAGUAUGAUUUGCAUUGGAGAUGCUUUAAGCCUCAAUUUUUUUCUCUCUAAAAUAGAGUAUGAUUUCUCUCCAAUGUAUCCCUUUUUUCUCUAAAAUAGAGUAUGAUUUCUCUUCAAUGUAUCCCUUUAUAUGUUACUCUAAAAUAGAGGUAAUGUAACAAAAGAUAUAAUUACUCAAUAUAUAGAACAAUCCUAUCAUUUAUUCUAUUUAAGAAUCACAUAUAGAGUAGGGUUAGAGAGAAUGUACUUGAAAAUAGACAUUUAGAAGAAAAUUUUGAGUGGCGUUGAAGAUGCUCUUACACAUUCAACAAAUUCUCUAUUAUAGCACCAUAGUCGUUUCACAUUCCUUCGUCACCCUCUUUUUCAUUUUAAUUUCCAUUUUUUAAAUAAAAUUUAUUCACUCAAAAAUGAUUGAAAUUUUUCAACUUGGAGCCACAAUUAUAUUAGUA
rnacentral:sRNA from 1 species